UACAUAUUUGUAUGUAUAAGCGCUUUAUUAAAUGUUUUAUAUUAAAAUGCGUCUUUUAAAAAAAGUGUGUUUUCCAACAAAGUUCUGCUUGUGCAUGUUUUUCCUAAAUGAGUGCAAUUGUUUUUGUUUUGUUGUUUUUCUCGAUAAUGAGUGUUGAUUAAAAAAAUGAGUGAAAUGUUAUUGUUUUCUUCGUUUUUAUCACUGUUUAUAACAGUGGCAUUGCAAAUAUAAGUUCAGACAGUGACGUCAUCACAUUCUAAAAGGAAGUGACGUCAUCAAAAUUUAAAAGACAGUGACAUCAUCAAAAUUUAAAAGACAGUGACAUCAUCAAAAUUUAAAAGCAUGUCAGCAGCUUUAAAGUUAAAGAAAUUGUGGCAGUAG